rnacentral:rRNA from 2 species
AACGAACGCUGGCGGCAGGCUUAACACAUGCAAGUCGAGCGCAUCCUUCGGGAUGAGCGGCAGACGGGUGAGUAACGCGUGGGAAUCUACCCUUUUCUACGGAAUAACGCAGGGAAACUUGUGCUAAUACCGUAUGUGUCCUUCGGGAGAAAGAUUUAUCGGGAAAGGAUGAGCCCGCGUUGGAUUAGCUAGUUGGUGGGGUAAAGGCCUACCAAGGCGACGAUCCAUAGCUGGUCUGAGAGGAUGAUCAGCCACAUUGGGACUGAGACACGGCCCAAACUCCUACGGGAGGCAGCAGUGGGGAAUAUUGGACAAUGGGCGCAAGCCUGAUCCAGCCAUGCCGCGUGAGUGAUGAAGGCCUUAGGGUUGUAAAGCUCUUUCACCGGGGAAGAUAAUGACGGUACCCGGAGAAGAAGCCCCGGCUAACUUCGUG